rnacentral:sRNA from 1 species
CACAAUUGUUCGAAAUGACUAAGUUUUUCUUUUCACAAAUACUUGCCUUUAUCCUUAUCAUUUCAGUUAUUUUAAGAACAGGCGCAACAGAUCCACAAAGAUGUCAAAAAGUGUUACAGCCCACAGACUGCAUCCUCCAAAAAUGUCAAUCGGAUUGCUUCAACAUGUUUAAAAACUCACAAGCGAGUGGAAAUUGCAUUCACAACAACAAUAAUAAUACUUUUGAAUGUGUUUGCAUCUUUAAUUGUAA